GGGGAAUAUUGCACAAUGGGCGAAAGCCUGAUGCAGCAACGCCGCGUGAGUGAAGAAGGUUUUCGGAUUGUAAAGCUCUGUCAUCUGGGACGAUAAUGACGGUACCAGAUGAGGAAGCCACGGCUAACUACGUGCCAGCAGCCGCGGUAAUACGUAGGUGGCAAGCGUUGUCCGGAAUUACUGGGCGUAAAGGGUGCGCAGGCGGACAUUUAAGUGAGAUGUGAAAGACCCGGGCUUAACUUGGGCAGUGCAUUUCAAACUGGAUGUCUGGAGUGCAGGAGAGGAGAACGGAAUUCCUAGUGUAGCGGUGAGAUGCGUAGAGAUUAGGAAGAACACCAGUGGCGAAGGCGACUCUCUGGGCUGUAACUGACGCUGAGGCGCGAAAGCGUGGGGAGCAAAC
rnacentral:rRNA from 1 species